UUAAAUUGAAGAGUUUGAUCAUGGCUCAGAUUGAACGCUGGCGGCAGGCCUAACACAUGCAAGUCGAACGGUAACAGGAAUCAGCUUGCUGAUUUGCUGACGAGUGGCGGACGGGUGAGUAAUGUCUGGGAA
rnacentral:rRNA from 1 species